rnacentral:rRNA from 1 species
GACGAACGCUGGCGGCGUGGAUUAGGCAUGCAAGUCGAACGGUAUCAUCCUUUCGGGGGUGAGAGAGUGGCGAACUGGUGAGUAACACGUAGGUUAUCUACCCUCAAGACGGGGACAACCCAGGGAAACUUGGGCUAAUACCGGAUGUGAGCAACUUUUAGUUGUUUGAAAGGUGGCGUAAGCUGUCGCUUGGGGAUGAGCCUGCGUCCUAUUAGUUAGUUGGUGAGGUAACGGCUCACCUAGGCAAUGAUAGGUAGGCGGCCUUAACGGGUGGUCGCCCACACUGGGAUUGAGAUACGGCCCAGACUCCUACGGGAGGCAGCAGUCGAGAAUAGUCUACAAUGGUCGGAAGACUGAUAGUGCGACGCCGCGUGAACGAUGAAUCCCUUCGGGGUGUAAAGUUCUUUUAUAUGUGAGCAGUGCUUCUUAUAUUAACAGUAUGGGGAGAGAGAUAUUAGCAUAUGAAUAAGCAACGGCUAACUCCGUGCCAGCAGCCGCGGUAAGACG